GGUUAAGCGACUAAGCGUACACGGUGGAUGCCCUGGCAGUCAGAGGCGAUGAAGGACGUGCUAAUCUGCGAUAAGCGUCGGUAAGGUGAUAUGAACCGUUAUAACCGGCGAUUUCCGAAUGGGGAAACCCAGUGUGAUUCGUCACACUAUCAUUAACUGAAUCCAUAGGUUAAUGAGGCGAACCGGGGGAACUGAAACAUCUAAGUACCCCGAGGAAAAGAAAUCAACCGAGAUUCCCCCAGUAGCGGCGAGCGAACGGGGAGGAGCCCAGAGCCUGAAUCAGUGUGUGUGUUAGUGGAAGCGUCUGGAAAGGCGCGCGAUACAGGGUGACAGCCCCGUACACAAAAAUGCACAUGCUGUGAGCUCGAUGAGUAGGGCGGGACACGUGGUAUCCUGUCUGAAUAUGGGGGACCAUCCUCCAAGGCUAAAUACUCCUGACUGACCGAUAGUGAACCAGUACCGUGAGGGAAAGGCGAAAAGAACCCCGGCGAGGGGAGUGAAAAAGAACCUGAAACCGUGUACGUACAAGCAGUGGGAGCACGCUUAGGCGUGUGACUGCGUACCUUUUGUAUAAUGGGUCAGCGACUUAUAUUCUGUAGCAAGGUUAACCGAAUAGGGGAGCCGAAGGGAAACCGAGUCUUAACUGGGCGUUAAGUUGCAGGGUAUAGACCCGAAACCCGGUGAUCUAGCCAUGGGCAGGUUGAAGGUUGGGUAACACUAACUGGAGGACCGAACCGACUAAUGUUGAAAAAUUAGCGGAUGACUUGUGGCUGGGGGUGAAAGGCCAAUCAAACCGGGAGAUAGCUGGUUCUCCCCGAAAGCUAUUUAGGUAGCGCCUCGUGAACUCAUCUCCGGGGGUAGAGCACUGUUUCGGCAAGGGGGUCAUCCCGACUUACCAACCCGAUGCAAACUGCGAAUACCGGAGAAUGUUAUCACGGGAGACACACGGCGGGUGCUAACGUCCGUCGUGAAGAGGGAAACAACCCAGACCGCCAGCUAAGGUCCCAAAGUCAUGGUUAAGUGGGAAACGAUGUGGGAAGGCCCAGACAGCCAGGAUGUUGGCUUAGAAGCAGCCAUCAUUUAAAGAAAGCGUAAUAGCUCACUGGUCGAGUCGGCCUGCGCGGAAGAUGUAACGGGGCUAAACCAUGCACCGAAGCUGCGGCAGCGACGCUUAUGCGUUGUUGGGUAGGGGAGCGUUCUGUAAGCCUGUGAAGGUGUGCUGUGAGGCAUGCUGGAGGUAUCAGAAGUGCGAAUGCUGACAUAAGUAACGAUAAAGCGGGUGAAAAGCCCGCUCGCCGGAAGACCAAGGGUUCCUGUCCAACGUUAAUCGGGGCAGGGUGAGUCGACCCCUAAGGCGAGGCCGAAAGGCGUAGUCGAUGGGAAACAGGUUAAUAUUCCUGUACUUGGUGUUACUGCGAAGGGGGGACGGAGAAGGCUAUGUUGGCCGGGCGACGGUUGUCCCGGUUUAAGCGUGUAGGCUGGUUUUCCAGGCAAAUCCGGAAAAUCAAGGCUGAGGCGUGAUGACGAGGCACUACGGUGCUGAAGCAACAAAUGCCCUGCUUCCAGGAAAAGCCUCUAAGCAUCAGGUAACAUCAAAUCGUACCCCAAACCGACACAGGUGGUCAGGUAGAGAAUACCAAGGCGCUUGAGAGAACUCGGGUGAAGGAACUAGGCAAAAUGGUGCCGUAACUUCGGGAGAAGGCACGCUGAUAUGUAGGUGAAGUCCCUCGCGGAUGGAGCUGAAAUCAGUCGAAGAUACCAGCUGGCUGCAACUGUUUAUUAAAAACACAGCACUGUGCAAACACGAAAGUGGACGUAUACGGUGUGACGCCUGCCCGGUGCCGGAAGGUUAAUUGAUGGGGUCAGCGCAAGCGAAGCUCUUGAUCGAAGCCCCGGUAAACGGCGGCCGUAACUAUAACGGUCCUAAGGUAGCGAAAUUCCUUGUCGGGUAAGUUCCGACCUGCACGAAUGGCGUAAUGAUGGCCAGGCUGUCUCCACCCGAGACUCAGUGAAAUUGAACUCGCUGUGAAGAUGCAGUGUACCCGCGGCAAGACGGAAAGACCCCGUGAACCUUUACUAUAGCUUGACACUGAACAUUGAGCCUUGAUGUGUAGGAUAGGUGGGAGGCUUAGAAGUGUGGACGCCAGUCUGCAUGGAGCCGACCUUGAAAUACCACCCUUUAAUGUUUGAUGUUCUAACGUUGACCCGUAAUCCGGGUUGCGGACAGUGUCUGGUGGGUAGUUUGACUGGGGCGGUCUCCUCCUAAAGAGUAACGGAGGAGCACGAAGGUUGGCUAAUCCUGGUCGGACAUCAGGAGGUUAGUGCAAUGGCAUAAGCCAGCUUGACUGCGAGCGUGACGGCGCGAGCAGGUGCGAAAGCAGGUCAUAGUGAUCCGGUGGUUCUGAAUGGAAGGGCCAUCGCUCAACGGAUAAAAGGUACUCCGGGGAUAACAGGCUGAUACCGCCCAAGAGUUCAUAUCGACGGCGGUGUUUGGCACCUCGAUGUCGGCUCAUCACAUCCUGGGGCUGAAGUAGGUCCCAAGGGUAUGGCUGUUCGCCAUUUAAAGUGGUACGCGAGCUGGGUUUAGAACGUCGUGAGACAGUUCGGUCCCUAUCUGCCGUGGGCGCUGGAGAACUGAGGGGGGCUGCUCCUAGUACGAGAGGACCGGAGUGGACGCAUCACUGGUGUUCGGGUUGUCAUGCCAAUGGCACUGCCCGGUAGCUAAAUGCGGAAGAGAUAAGUGCUGAAAGCAUCUAAGCACGAAACUUGCCCCGAGAUGAGUUCUCCCUGACUCCUUGAGAGUCCUGAAGGAACGUUGAAGACGACGACGUUGAUAGGCCGGGUGUGUAAGCGCAGCGAUGCGUUGAGCUAACCGGUACUAAUGAACCGUGAGGCUUAACCUU
rnacentral:rRNA from 1 species